rnacentral:rRNA from 1 species
AUUGAACGCUGGCGGCAGGCCUAACACAUGCAAGUCGAGCGGAUGACGGGAGCUUGCUCCUUGAUUCAGCGGCGGACGGGUGAGUAAUGCCUAGGAAUCUGCCUGGUAGUGGGGGACAACGUUUCGAAAGGAACGCUAAUACCGCAUACGUCCUACGGGAGAAAGCAGGGGACCUUCGGGCCUUGCGCUAUCGGAUGAGCCUAGGUCGGAUUAGCUAGUUGGUGAGGUAAUGGCUCACCAAGGCGACGAUCCGUAACUGGUCUGAGAGGAUGACCAGUCACACUGGAACUGAGACACGGUCCAGACUCCUACGGGAGGCAGCAGUGGGGAAUAUUGGACAAUGGGCGAAAGCCUGAUCCAGCCAUGCCGCGUGUGUGAAGAAGGUCUUCGGAUUGUAAAGCACUUUAAGUUGGGAGGAAGGGCAGUAAGUUAAUACCGUGCUGUUUUGACGUUACCGACAGAAUAAGCACCGGCUAACUCUGUGCCAGCAGCCGCCGUAACAC